rnacentral:rRNA from 1 species
UACGUAGGGGGCUAGCGUUGUCCGGAUUUAUUGGGCGUAAAGAGCGUGUAGGCGGCCAGGUAGGUCUGCUGUGAAAACUCGAGGCUCAACCUCGAGACGUCGGCGGAAACCAUCUGGCUAGAGUCCGGAAGAGGAGAGUGGAAUUCCUGGUGUAGCGGUGAAAUGCGCAGAUAUCAGGAAGAACACCUAUGGCGAAGGCAGCUCUCUGGGACGGUACUGACGCUGAGACGCGAAAGCGUGGGGGAGCGAACAGG